AACAAACAUACAAAUUGGAAAGAAGAAGAACUUUUUUAUUUCAAUGAUUCUUUGGGCUGAUUCAUUUGUCUUCAAAUUUAAAAUGGGUUACAUAAUUUGAGCUUUUAAUUUGAAGGUUUAAAUUGAAAUCUUCUCUGUAAAUUAAAAGCUCAAAUAACAAGAUUAUACGAGUUGAAUUGAGGAAUUUGAUAACUCAACUCCAGAUCAAGACGACUGAGUCAAAUAACUCAUUGUUGGACUCGUCGCCCGGGUUGUUACACGAAGAUAACAAGAAUGUAUUGAUUGUAGUAGCUCAAGGAAUCAUUCUGAUGCUGGUCCAUUUACUCGAUUUCAGCUUUUAAAUCUCCAUGAUUGCUUCAAGCCAGCUUUUUUGAUCUCUGGAGAUUUAUGUAUUCUCAACAAUUUUCUAAGGAUUCUUGAAUUUCAAAGUGUUCUGGGAAAACAAAAUUCAUGUAUAGCUUUGCAAACAUUGGGUAAAGAAGAGAAAUUUCAUAUUUUUUUGAAACUUGCCAAAUGAGAACACCCAAUUUUCAAGCUAUAGCUAUGGCAGCAGGUGUAUUUUUUGUGCUUAAGGCAGGUGAAAAAAGAUGGGAGUGAGAGGUGGGUUUGGAUUUUGGGGGCGGCUAGGGUUUAUUGAAAGAGAUGGGAAAGGAGAUGCAACUUAAUAGAGAGGAAAAAUUAGCUUUUUAAAAAAAUAUUAUUUAUUUUUUAAUAUUUAAUUUUUGACUUGUCAUUAAAAAAUGAUGUGGAUUUCACGUGUAUUUGGUUGUAUCACACGCACCCUCUUCAAAUGAAAAAAGAGUUAAAAAUAUUGUGUUUUAUUAAGUUUAAGUGUUUAGUUGACAAAGUCAUAAGUAAAAGGGUUCACUUUACAAUCUGAUACAAGUAUAAGAGUCUAUCGGAUCAUUUUGCAAAAAAAAAAGAGUAACUUUUAAAUAGAAAAAAGAAAGAAAAAAAAGAGUCCUGGAUUUUAAAUUUUGUCCAUCAGUCUUAAAAAAGCUAUAAAGGGCGGCGAUUGAACUGGUUGAAAGUUGAAUACGCAAAAUCAAAGUAUUGUUGAUGAUUAAUGGCUGAUUCUAGAUUAGCAAUCCUUAGUCGACACUUCACUUCAGCAGCAGAAGCAGCAGAUUGUAAGGCUGGCUCUUGCUCUUUUGGUCAAAAUUUGGGGUGGAUUAAGAUAUCCCCGGAGGUUUCAGAAGCAUUAAAACAUGGAACCCCCAUUGUUGCAUUGGAAUCCACUAUAAUAUCUCAUGGAAUGCCGUAUCCUCAGAAUUUCGAGACAGCAAAGGAGUUGGAGGUCAUUGUGAGGGAGAAUGGAGCUGUACCUGCCACUAUCGCUAUUCUGGAUGGCGUACCAUGCAUAGGCUUGACUACAGAAGAACUAGAGAUUCUAGCACGUCUUGGUAGCAAAGCUCGGAAAACUGCUAGUAGAGACAUUGCACUUGUUAUGGCAGGCAGGGAGAAUGGGGCAACUACUGUCUCUGCAACAAUGUAUCUUGCUUCGAAGGUGGGUAUUCCAGUAUUUGUCACUGGCGGUAUUGGAGGAGUACAUAGGCAUGGAGAGAACACAAUGGAUGUUUCUUCUGAUCUUACUGAGCUUGGAAAUACUCCUGUGGCUGUGAUCUCUGCUGGUAUAAAAUCGAUACUAGAUAUUCCUCGAACACUUGAAUAUUUGGAAACUCAAAGAGUUACUGUUGCAGCUUAUAGAACCGAUGAGUUCCCUGCUUUCUUCACACAAACCAGUGGCUGCAAGGCACCUGCUCGAGUAGAAUCGCCAGAACAUUGCGCUCGAGUUAUUGAUGCUAACAUAAGACUUGAGCAGAAGAGUGGAAUCUUGAUAGCAGUCCCCAUUCCAAGAGAGCAUUCUGCUUCUGGAAGUUUGAUUGAGUCGGCAAUACAGCAAGCUCUCCAAGAAGCACGAUCAUUCGUUAAAAUCUUGAUAGAGAAAGAGGAAUGUCACAAUAAAUUAUUAUCAAUCAUUUCCACAACGCCACCUGAAUUAGAUCAUGGCCUUCAGUUUACUCCAUCCUUUUAGUUUCCUUAAUGAAGUUUCAGACAUUGCUCUCGUGAAAAAUAAUGCCAGUAUCGGUGCUAAAGUUGCUGUUUCGCUUGCCCAGCUUCAAAAACGUAGUUACAACAGGUUGUAAUUCUCUUAUAUUCGCGCUCCUUCGUAUCAACUCAGCUAAGCAUUUUAAGCUCGUUGAGUCUGAAGGAAGCAGCGGCUUUGACAUAGGAAGCAGAAAGAGUGUUACUUAUGGAAGUAUGCAACCAAACAGAAAGUUAAUGCAACAUCUUUCCUUUAUAAUCUAGAAUUCUAGUGAUGUGAAUUACUCCCUCCGUUCCCUUAAGAAAUUAGGUAAGUUUAUUAUUGUACCCUUAUUUAGUGUUCUCUUGAAGUCAAGUUUUCAAUAAAUGAAUAUAAAUUAAUUUAUUUUGAUUAAUUAAAUUGGCCAAUGAACAUGAGUUAAAUCA